GCCGAGGCCGGGUGUAAGAUGGAAUAAAGCAGUAGUGAAAUCAUCGUGGGGAGCUGAGAGGAGUGUCAAACUUUCAGCAGUUGAGUCCCGUUUUUCCUACCUUAGAGAAAGAGAGAGAGAUGGGGAAGCUGGGGGAUUUCCAUUAAGGAGAAACCAGAGACGAUCAAAGGAGGAGGAGAGUGGUGCUGCCCUUUAAGAAAGCCUGCCAGAGCUCUGGAACUGGGACUCUUAAGAAACUUCUGUAAUGUGCCAAGUAAAGUGAGAAAGCUCUUCGUGGGGUCAAAAGAGAAGCUACAAGAGGAGGCCCCACGGAAGACUUGGCAGAAGAGAGUGGGAAGGAGUUUCACAUGGAUGGAUCAGAGCCUUUGCCUCAUAAGGCCUAUCUUUGGAGAAUGUAGUCAGGCCAGCCUAUCUUUGGAGAAUAUGCUCUGGUGUAGUGACAUCUACCGGCAAGGCUAGGCAGGAAAGAAAAUGACCAGAUGCCCACUCAUCUCCAGGACUCAAUUUCUCCUAGCACGCAUACUUGACAAAGACUUUACCACUAGAGGUAAUAGAGAAGCCAGAGAGAGAGUGAGGAGAAACUACCAGAGAAAUCAUUAUGAAGCAAAUGUUCUCCUUUCUCCAUAACAUGGACUCCAUAGCUGAAUGUGGCUCAGACAAAGCCUCUGUCUCUCCGUCUUUCAAUCAAACUUAAAAAGAAAAUCAUCAGGCCCUCAGUGGAGAAAUGAGUAAUGCACAGGAUUCCAUGGAAGAGGAAACAGGACUAGUAAAUAAACACAUGGAAGACUGAGGUCCAUCCUAACUAGAAAUAAAAUGAAAAGCACAUUUGAGGUGCAGUUUUCUUUUUUUUUUUUUUAACUAAACUUGCAAGAUUUUAUUAAGUGGUAACACUCAGUUCUGGGAACAUCUUAAAAUUGGUAUCCUCCCACAAGGAUGGUGACACUUUAAAUUUGGACAAGUCUUUGGGGGAAAAAAAAUCAAGCAAUGUAGAAGAGGUAGAAAUAAAAACAGGAGAGCUACAGAUGCAUGCAGACACUCACCGCAUCAUUAUCUGACUUAAAAGAACCUCAAUAAUCCCAAACAGAGCACGUUAUGUCACAGUGCACAUUACAACAUUACACAGCAAUUACAAUUAUAAUUACGAGGACUACAGAGAAACAAGGAGAUAUUAAGAAUCUGUAAAAAAUAUGGAAUUUCAUGCAAGCAAUGAGUGCAUCUAUGCAAAAUGUGCACAUAUAAUAAAAUGUAUGCAUGUGGAGAAAAACUGGAAGGCAAUACGCAAACAAUAAAAAUAGCUCUAUAGCAACA